UUUGAUUGAAGUGAGAAUACGGAGGUAAAGGGAAAUUAGUUUUUGCUUUAGGUCCCCGAAGAGUCCGAGCUGCAGCGUCAUAAGCUUUAGCGGCUUCUUCAGCUGAAUCGAAAGUGCCAAGCCAAACCCUAGUUUUUUUCCACGGGUCUCUAAUCUCCGCCGCAAAUCUUCCCCACUGCCGUUUUCUGACACCACGAAACCUAAUGUCUUUCAAUCCUCCAGAUCCAGCCGCCGGUGAAGCCUCCGCCGCUUGCUUCGCCGCCGCGGUUGCUCUACCUCUUCGCAUGGCCACAGGUCAAAAAACAACAACAAAAAGCUUACCCCUUUGAGACCGAUUGGAGCCAAUCAAAGAUCGAGAAGCAGCAGAGGAUUAGCUUCCCUUCCGAGAGCACUCACUUUCUCUCUCUAGAACUCAGCUUUUCUCUCUCUCUAGAACUCAGCUUUUUUCUCUCUCUACUGUUUGUGGUGGGUUUGGGUGAGAGAAAGGAGAGAGAAAUAGGGGCUGUUUGUUUUCUUUUGUUUAUUUUU
rnacentral:lncRNA from 1 species